GUAUGUGGCUCAAGCAGUAGCGUGCUCGCCUGGCAUGCGUGCUGCCCGGGUUCGAUCCUCAGCACCACAUACA
rnacentral:tRNA from 1 species